rnacentral:rRNA from 1 species
UACGAAGGGGGCUAGCGUUGCUCGGAAUCACUGGGCGUAAAGGGUGCGUAGGCGGAUUGUUAAGUUAGGGGUGAAAUCCCAGGGCUCAACCCUGGAACUGCCUUUAAUACUGGCAAUCUCGAGUCCGAGAGAGGUGAGUGGAAUUCCGAGUGUAGAGGUGAAAUUCGUAGAUAUUCGGAGGAACACCAGUGGCGAAGGCGGCUCACUGGCUCGGUACUGACGCUGAGGUGCGAAAGCGUGGGGAGCAAACAGG